CAUGGCGGCCUCUGUUUCACCGCUACGCUCCUCCUUCAGGAUUUGUAGCCCGCUAACGUUACACCAUCACUGCUGCCGGGCCAAACUGCGGGUGCACAGAAAAUGCGACAGUCAGAGGAGACACCUUCAGCACUCUGCGAGCAGACACGCGGCUGUGGUGAUUUCGGGGACCGAGUUGGCUCGUCAGCUCCACAGAGAAAUCCAGCGUGAUGUUGAAGAACUGGUAGCUCAGGGCAACAUGAGACCCCACCUGGGAGUUGUCUUAGUGGGGGACGACCCAGCCAGUCGCACCUAUGUUAAGAACAAGACCCGGGCAGCCAGCAUCCUGGGUAUCUCCAGUGACACAGUGGUGCGGCCUAGCUCGGUCUCCCAGGAGGAGUUGCUGGAGCUGAUUGACAAGAUGAACCGUGACUGGAGGGUCAGCGGCCUGUUGGUGCAGCUGCCACUUCCUGAGCAUAUCAAUGAGCGAGCAGUAUGUAACGCCAUCGCUCCAGAGAAGGAUGUGGAUGGCUUCCACAUUGUGAACAUCGGUAAGCUGUGUCUGGACCAGAGAUCCAUGGUGCCUGCCACGCCUGCAGCUGUUUGGGAGAUCAUCAAAAGAGCAGGUAUUGAGACGGUGGGGAAGAAUGUGCUGGUUGCUGGCCGCUCUAAAAAUGUUGGAAUGCCCAUCGCUAUGUUGCUGCACACCGAUCGCAAGCAUGAACGCCCCGGGGGUGACGCCACAGUGACCAUUGCCCACAGAUGUACACCGAGGGAGCAGCUGAAGGAGCUAACCAGCCUGGCUGACAUCAUCAUUGCAGCUGCAGGUGUUCCCAGACUGAUCACAGCAGAUAUGGUGAAAGAGGGCGCAGCAGUCAUUGACGUCGGCAUAAACCGCAUCAAGGACCCAAACACGGGAAAACUGCGGCUCAUUGGUGACGUGGACUUUGAGGGAGUGAAAGAGAAGGCAGGUUUCAUCACACCUGUUCCCGGAGGCGUGGGUCCGAUGACAGUAGCCAUGCUGAUGAAGAACACUGUGACCGCUGCCAGAAAUGCACUGAUGCAUUAAACACACACACACACACACACACACACACUGCUUUUACUGAAUGACAUACAGUGGAUGCAUACGUACUGUACACACACACACACACACACACACACACACACACACACACACACAUACAUAUACAUCCGUAACUUUAUUUACACACACUUAUUUACACAAACAUCAAACACUUUUAUUUGAACAUCCAUGAGCUCAAGACUCCAUGCCUGCUGGGAAACUUACUUGACAUUUGUUUAUAUUUUGAAUUUGUUCAUUUAUUUAUUUGAAUUAUUUAUUCCAGAGUUCACUUUUUAAGAGUUUAGAUUAAUAUUUUUUCUACUGAAGUUGUUUUGGUUCAUUGCUGAACAGUCCAGAUUCACUGGAAAAAGAAUAUUAAAUGAAAAACAAUGCUGUGCCAGUACUACGAUCUCUCAGUCAUUCUUUUUUCUGAUUUUCAGAGGCCUUUUUGUGGUAAUUUGCUUUUAACGGACAGACAGGGAGAGGUAUAACAUGCACCAAAGAUCCUCAGCUGGAAUCAAACCCUGGACACUGUGGUUAUGAGAAACUGAGGCUUUCACAACACCUGUAAUCAUCAGUGAAGCGACCUGUCAAAACUGCAAGAGGCAUUUGAGUGAAACUACAAAUCAAACAACUGCGUGGGUUCACAGAACUUCCAAGGAAGAAGCCACAUUUAAG